rnacentral:rRNA from 1 species
UAGUCCACGCCGUAAACGAUGUUCACCCGCUGUCUGCGAUACACAGUAGGCGGCUGAGCGAAAGCAUUAAGUGAACCACCUGGGGAGUACGAUCGCAAGGUUGAAAACUCAAAGGAAUUGACGGGGGCCCGCACAAGCGGAGGAACAUGUGGUUUAAUUCGAUGAUACGCGAGGAACCUUACCUGGGCUUAAAUGUAGAUUGCAUAACUUAGAAAUAGGUUUUCCCUUCGGGGCUAUUUACAAGGUGCUGCAUGGUUGUCGUCAGCUCGUGCCGUGAGGUGUCGGGUUAAGUCCCAUAACGAGCGCAACCCUUAUCGUUAGUUGCCCAGCGGGUAAAGCCGGGGACUCUAGCGAGACUGCCACCGUAAGGUGAGAGGAAGGUGGGGAUGACGUCAAAGUCAGGCACGGCCCUUAUGUCCAGGGCUACACACGUGUUACGAAUGGCCGGUACAAGGGCAGCUACUUGGUGACAAGAUGGCUAAUCCCUAAAGCCGGUACCCAGUUCGGAUUGGAGUCUGCAACCCGACUCCA